GAUGAACGCUGGCGGCGUGCCUAAUACAUGCAAGUCGAGCGAACGGACGAGAAGCUUGCUUCUCUGAUGUUAGCGGCGGACGGGUGAGUAACACGUGGAUAACCUACCUAUAAGACUGGGAUAACUUCGGGAAACCGUAGCUAAUACCGGAUAAUAUUUUGAACCGCAUGGUUCAAAAGUGAAAGACGGUCUUGCUGUCACUUAUAGAUGGAUCCGCGCUGCAUUAGCUAGUUGGUAAGGUAACGGCUUACCAAGGCAACGAUGCAUAGCCGACCUGAGAGGGUGAUCGGCCGCACUGGAACUGAGACGCGGUCCAGACUCCUACGGGAGGCAGCAGUAGGGAAUCUUCCGCAAUGGGCGAAAGCCUGACGGAGCAGCGCCGCGUGAGUGAUGAAGGUCUUCGGAUCGUAAAACUCUGUUAUUAGGGAAGAACAUAUGUGUAAGGAACUGUGCACAUCUUGACGGUACCUAAUCAGAAAGCAACGGCUAACUACGUG
rnacentral:rRNA from 1 species